rnacentral:rRNA from 1 species
GGGUUGUGAGGUUAAGCGACUAAGCGUACACGGUGGAUGCCCUGGCAGUCAGAGGCGAUGAAGGGCGUGCUAAUCUGCGAUAAGCGCCGGUAAGGUGAUAUGAACCGUUAUAACCGGCGAUACCCGAAUGGGGAAACCCAGUGUGAUUCGUCACACUAUCAUUAACUGAAUCCAUAGGUUAAUGAGGCGAACCGGGGGAACUGAAACAUCUAAGUACCCCGAGGAAAAGAAAUCAACCGAGAUUCCCCCAGUAGCGGCGAGCGAACGGGGAGGAGCCCAGAGCCUGAAUCAGCAUGUGUGUUAGUGGAAGCGUCUGGAAAGGCGCGCGAUACAGGGUGACAGCCCCGUACACAAAAGCGCAUAUGCUGUGAGCUCGAUGAGUAGGGCGGGACACGUGGUAUCCUGUCUGAAUAUGGGGGGACCAUCCUCCAAGGCUAAAUACUCCUGACUGACCGAUAGUGAACCAGUACCGUGAGGGAAAGGCGAAAAGAACCCCGGCGAGGGGAGUGAAAAAGAACCUGAAACCGUGUACGUACAAGCAGUGGGAGCCCCACCACUAAGCCAGUGGUGAACUCCACAUACGCAUCCUUUGCUGAGGAGACGGUUAACGGAGCGAAAGCGACGUUCAACCUCAAAAGAAGCAGAGGGGGCUUAGUGGUGGGGUGACUGCGUACCUUUUGUAUAAUGGGUCAGCGACUUAUAUUCUGUAGCAAGGUUAACUGUAUAGGGGAGCCGGAGGGAAACCGAGUCUUAACCGGGCGUUAAGUUGCAGGGUAUAGACCCGAAACCCGGUGAUCUAGCCAUGGGCAGGUUGAAGGUUGGGUAACACUAACUGGAGGACCGAACCGACUAAUGUUGAAAAAUUAGCGGAUGACCUGUGGCUGGGGGUGAAAGGCCAAUCAAACCGGGAGAUAGCUGGUUCUCCCCGAAAGCUAUUUAGGUAGCGCCUCGUGAAUUCAUCUCCGGGGGUAGAGCACUGUUUCGGCUAGGGGGCCAUCCCGGCUUACCAACCCGAUGCAAACUGCGAAUACCGGAGAAUGUUAUCACGGGAGACACACGGCGGGUGCUAAUGUCCGUCGUGAAGAGGGAAACAACCCAGACCGCCAGCUAAGGUCCCAAAGUCAUGGUUAAGUGGGAAACGAUGUGGGAAGGCCCAGACAGCCAGGAUGUUGGCUUAGAAGCAGCCAUCAUUUAAAGAAAGCGUAAUAGCUCACUGGUCGAGUCGGCCUGCGCGGAAGAUGUAACGGGGCUAAACCAUGCACCGAAGCUGCGGCAGCGACACCGUGUGUUGUUGGGUAGGGGAGCGUUCUGUAAGCCUGUGAAGGUGUGCUGUGAGGCAUGCUGGAGGUAUCAGAAGUGCGAAUGCUGACAUAAGUAACGAUAAAGCGGGUGAAAAGCCCGCUCGCCGGAAGACCAAGGGUUCCUGUCCAACGUUAAUCGGGGCAGGGUGAGUCGA